UUUAAGCUAUAUAUUAAAGAGAAUUAUUUAUAUAUAUAAGUAAGGGCUAAUUUGCAUACGGCUACUUUGUAGUCGUCAGCAAACUAAAGUUCUCUUAUAAUUAUAUGAACUCUAAGAGAAAUUUAAUAAUAAACGAAGUGAAUUGAAAUAUCUUAGUAACUUUAGGAAAAUAAAUCAAAAGAGAUUCUAUGAAUAGCGUGAGCUAAAGUAGACCAGUCUAAUAAGUAAAACGGUAUAUAAACUGUUUGAAGGCGGGCGCAAGCUCGCUUAUGGGGAACCUUCCUCAAAGACUAAAUAUAAUAUAUAAGCGAUAGCGAAUAGUACCGUGAGGGAAUUAAAAGAAAAAUAGUAAUUUUAUAAGCAGUUCGAGGCGCAAGCUAAAGAACGUACCUUUUGCAUAAUGGGUCACCAAGUUAACAUUAGAUGCGAGAAUAUACGUAGUUAAACCGAGCGUUAAAAUAACGGGAAAGUGUCUAAAGUUAGACCCGAAGCCUGGUGAUUUUACCAUAAUCAGGAUUAUAAAAGUCCGAACCGAUUAUUGUAGCAUAAAUAUCGGAAGAAUUAUGGUAGGUGUAGUGAAAGACAAUACUGACUAGGAUAGCUGGUUUUCUGCGAAACCUAUAAUAGUAGGCAAUUUAAGUAUAAUAUCUUAGCAGGUACAGAAUUUAAUCUCAGACAAGACAUUGGGUUAGCUUGCUAGCUCAGUUUUAUUUUGUACAAAUUGGGGGAUCAUGAAGAUUUUAUCAGUGAGUAUGUAGACUCGGAAUGGCAAAGAUAUAUCUUAAAUUAUCAGACAUAGAAUGAUAAGGUUGUAUGUCAAAAGGGAAACAGCCCAGAACAAGAGUUAAGGUUCCUAAAUUAUUAGUUGAGUGAAAUUAAGAAGGUUUUUAUUAAAGUCGACAAGGAGAUAGGCUUAGAAGCAGCCAUAAUUUUAUGACCUCGUAACAGAGCGCUUGUUAAAUUUUAAAAGCAUCGAAAAUUUACCGGAUCUAAACAAUAUACCGAAACCUUGUCCAUAAAGUUUUAUAAUGAAAAUUAUAUUAUAAUUUAAUGGGGUAGCAGAACGUUGAGCUAAAUUAUGAUUUUUAUUAUUUUAAUAAAAUUAUAUUAUUUAACUCAAGUGAGAAUGGUGACAUGAGUAACUAAAAGAAAAUUUUCCGCCUAAAGCUUAUGGAUGUAAUUAAGUAACGGCCUCUAAGUUUAUAUUAUCUAAAGAUUUAAACGAUGAGAUAAUCUUUAUUACUAAGGACGACAUUUAAAGUGAUAAAUGUACUGGAAAAAUAGUAAUAUAUUUAUUAAUUGAUGCUGCUAUGAAAUAUAGCAAGCUCUAAUAAAUGAAAAGUAACCGUACCUAGAAUCUGAAACAAGUAAGCUAGUAGAGAAUACGAAGGCGUAAAUGAGCUAACAAUCAUAAAGGAACUCGGCAAAUUGACUACCGUAACUUCGGGAUAAGGAGAGCUCAUUCUUUUUGAUUAAUAUCAAAUAAAGAUGAAGAAGCAUGAAAUAGUGUUGUACGACUGUUUAAUUAAAACACAGCACUCUGCUGAAAGAUUAAAAAUCUAAGUAUAGAGUGUGAUGUCUGCCCGGUGCCGGCUGGUUAACGGAUAUAAUUGGAUAUACUAAUAUCUGAUGUUGAAGGAAACCCCGGUUAAAGGCGGCCUUAACGUGAGGGUCCUAAGGUAGCGAAAUGCCUUGGCCGUUAAAUGCGGUCUUGCAUGAAUGAUGUAACGAUACAACAGCUGUCUCUAUGAUUGACUCAGUGAAAUUGGAAUAGCUGUGCAGAUACAGUUUACCUCUAGUUAGACGAGAAGACCCUAUGCAGCUUUACUGUCACUAAUUAUAGAGUAUGAUAAAUAAUUUUCAGAAUAUAAGGUAAUAGAUGAUAUAACAAUGAGAAUCCUUUAUUUCUUUUUCAUAUGAAUGAAUUGGUUUAGGAUUACUAUGAACAACUUGUUUGCUUCAUAGUAAUAGUAAAUCAGCCUAAUUCAGCUUAUUAAUUAAUAAGUACCCUUUGGUAAGGAACUAUCGCUAGGGGACAGUUUAUGUGGGGCACAGACCCUGUAAAGAGUAAACAGGAGUGUCUAAUAAUUUAUAAUUAUUUUGUUUGCGAUUUAAAAUAGUUUAACUAUUUUUAAUCAUAUAAAAUUAUUUAUAUUUACAUUAUCGGCUUAUUGCCUCUACGGGGGCAAUAAAAAGAGCAUGUAUAUAUAUUUAAGAUUAGGUAGGAUUUUCACUAUAUAGAAAUUAGAGAUAAUUAAAAAUAUUAUGUGCUGCCUCCUAUUUUAGGACGAAUACAGUACUAAUAUUUUUUAAUAAUUAGGCUUAUUUCAUAGCCCGAAGGGCUAGCAAGCACUAAUUGUUAUGUUUUAAAUAUCUAAAAAGCUCAACGGCUUAAUCCUGCCUUACUGUUUGAUUAUCAACAAAUCUUACAGUUGCGUAAGCAGGGCAUAGGAUCACAAGAUGCAAUAAGGAAAGAUCUUGGAUUAUUGGAAAAGCUACGCUAGGGAUGUUUGUCCUUUAAUAUUUUAAAUACUAUUACAGCUGGCUUUGUUUGCUUUAAGUAGCACUUAUAAAGUUAAGCUAGUACGGUAUUAUAAUAUAAUUAAUAAUAUAUUGGGUUAAUUUC
rnacentral:rRNA from 1 species